rnacentral:tRNA from 1 species
GUCUAUGUAGUAUAUUAAUUAUACUG